AGGGAAUCUUCCACAAUGGACGAAAGUCUGAUGGAGCAACGCCGCGUGAGUGAUGAAGGUUUUCGGAUCUUAAAACUAGGUUGUAGGGGAAGAACCAGUAGGUCAGGCAAUGGACUUACCUUGACGGUACCUAAUUAGAAAGCCACGGCAAACUCGUGGCCAGCAGCCGCGGUAAUACGUAGGUGGCAAGCGUUGUCCGGAAUUAUUGGGCGUAAAGCGCGCGCAGGUGGUUUCUUAAGUCUGAUGUGAAAGCCCACGGCUUAACCGUGGAGGGUCAUUGGAAACUGGGAGACUUGGGUGCAGAAGAGGAAAGUGGAAUUCCAAGUGUAGCGGUGAAAUGCGUAGAGAUUUGGAGGAACACCAGUGGCGAAGGCGACUUUCUGGUCUGCAACUGACGCUGAGGCGCGAAAGCAUGGGGAGCAAACA
rnacentral:rRNA from 1 species